AGUAUCGCUCCCGCUGGUGGUUCACCCCACGGGGUGAGGCGAGAGGGAACCCGGUGCGAAUCCGGGGCUGCCCCGCAGCGGUAAGUGGGAACGAAGGCCGUCACACGCACUGGGAACCCCUGAGAGUGCCCGGGAAGCGACGGUCGGUAGGCCGCCCACGAGUCCGAAGACCUGCCACCGGUGCGCACGUCGG
rnacentral:ncRNA from 2 species